rnacentral:rRNA from 1 species
GGUUAAGCGACUAAGCGUACACGGUGGAUGCCCUGGCAGUCAGAGGCGAUGAAGGACGUGCUAAUCUGCGAUAAGCGUCGGUAAGGUGAUAUGAACCGUUAUAACCGGCGAUUUCCGAAUGGGGAAACCCAGUGUGAUUCGUCACACUAUCAUUAACUGAAUCCAUAGGUUAAUGAGGCGAACCGGGGGAACUGAAACAUCUAAGUACCCCGAGGAAAAGAAAUCAACCGAGAUUCCCCCAGUAGCGGCGAGCGAACGGGGAGCAGCCCAGAGCCUGAAUCAGUGUGUGUGUUAGUGGAAGCGUCUGGAAAGGCGCGCGAUACAGGGUGACAGCCCCGUACACAAAAAUGCACAUACUGUGAGCUCGAUGAGUAGGGCGGGACACGUGGUAUCCUGUCUGAAUAUGGGGGGACCAUCCUCCAAGGCUAAAUACUCCUGACUGACCGAUAGUGAACCAGUACCGUGAGGGAAAGGCGAAAAGAACCCCGGCGAGGGGAGUGAAAAAGAACCUGAAACCGUGUACGUACAAGCAGUGGGAGCCUCUUAAUGGGGUGACUGCGUACCUUUUGUAUAAUGGGUCAGCGACUUAUAUUCUGUAGCAAGGUUAACCGAAUAGGGGAGCCGAAGGGAAACCGAGUCUUAACUGGGCGUUAAGUUGCAGGGUAUAGACCCGAAACCCGGUGAUCUAGCCAUGGGCAGGUUGAAGGUUGGGUAACACUAACUGGAGGACCGAACCGACUAAUGUUGAAAAAUUAGCGGAUGACUUGUGGCUGGGGGUGAAAGGCCAAUCAAACCGGGAGAUAGCUGGUUCUCCCCGAAAGCUAUUUAGGUAGCGCCUCGUGAAUUCAUCUCCGGGGGUAGAGCACUGUUUCGGCAAGGGGGUCAUCCCGACUUACCAACCCGAUGCAAACUGCGAAUACCGGAGAAUGUUAUCACGGGAGACACACGGCGGGUGCUAACGUCCGUCGUGAAGAGGGAAACAACCCAGACCGCCAGCUAAGGUCCCAAAGUCAUGGUUAAGUGGGAAACGAUGUGGGAAGGCCCAGACAGCCAGGAUGUUGGCUUAGAAGCAGCCAUCAUUUAAAGAAAGCGUAAUAGCUCACUGGUCGAGUCGGCCUGCGCGGAAGAUGUAACGGGGCUAAACCAUGCACCGAAGCUGCGGCAGCGACGCUUAUGCGUUGUUGGGUAGGGGAGCGUUCUGUAAGCCUGCGAAGGUGUGCUGUGAGGCAUGCUGGAGGUAUCAGAAGUGCGAAUGCUGACAUAAGUAACGAUAAAGCGGGUGAAAAGCCCGCUCGCCGGAAGACCAAGGGUUCCUGUCCAACGUUAAUCGGGGCAGGGUGAGUCGACCCCUAAGGCGAGGCCGAAAGGCGUAGUCGAUGGGAAACAGGUUAAUAUUCCUGUACUUGGUGUUACUGCGAAGGGGGGACGGAGAAGGCUAUGUUGGCCGGGCGACGGUUGUCCCGGUUUAAGCGUGUAGGCUGGUUUUCCAGGCAAAUCCGGAAAAUCAAGGCUGAGGCGUGAUGACGAGGCACUACGGUGCUGAAGCAACAAAUGCCCUGCUUCCAGGAAAAGCCUCUAAGCAUCAGGUAACAUCAAAUCGUACCCCAAACCGACACAGGUGGUCAGGUAGAGAAUACCAAGGCGCUUGAGAGAACUCGGGUGAAGGAACUAGGCAAAAUGGUGCCGUAACUUCGGGAGAAGGCACGCUGAUACGUAGGUGAAGUCCCUUGCGGAUGGAGCUGAAAUCAGUCGAAGAUACCAGCUGGCUGCAACUGUUUAUUAAAAACACAGCACUGUGCAAACACGAAAGUGGACGUAUACGGUGUGACGCCUGCCCGGUGCCGGAAGGUUAAUUGAUGGGGUUAGCGGUAACGCGAAGCUCUUGAUCGAAGCCCCGGUAAACGGCGGCCGUAACUAUAACGGUCCUAAGGUAGCGAAAUUCCUUGUCGGGUAAGUUCCGACCUGCACGAAUGGCGUAAUGAUGGCCAGGCUGUCUCCACCCGAGACUCAGUGAAAUUGAACUCGCUGUGAAGAUGCAGUGUACCCGCGGCAAGACGGAAAGACCCCGUGAACCUUUACUAUAGCUUGACACUGAACAUUGAGCCUUGAUGUGUAGGAUAGGUGGGAGGCUUUGAAGUGUGGACGCCAGUCUGCAUGGAGCCGACCUUGAAAUACCACCCUUUAAUGUUUGAUGUUCUAACGUUGGCCCCUAAUCGGGGUUGCGGACAGUGUCUGGUGGGUAGUUUGACUGGGGCGGUCUCCUCCUAAAGAGUAACGGAGGAGCACGAAGGUUGGCUAAUCCUGGUCGGACAUCAGGAGGUUAGUGCAAUGGCAUAAGCCAGCUUGACUGCGAGCGUGACGGCGCGAGCAGGUGCGAAAGCAGGUCAUAGUGAUCCGGUGGUUCUGAAUGGAAGGGCCAUCGCUCAACGGAUAAAAGGUACUCCGGGGAUAACAGGCUGAUACCGCCCAAGAGUUCAUAUCGACGGCGGUGUUUGGCACCUCGAUGUCGGCUCAUCACAUCCUGGGGCUGAAGUAGGUCCCAAGGGUAUGGCUGUUCGCCAUUUAAAGUGGUACGCGAGCUGGGUUUAGAACGUCGUGAGACAGUUCGGUCCCUAUCUGCCGUGGGCGCUGGAGAACUGAGGGGGGCUGCUCCUAGUACGAGAGGACCGGAGUGGACGCAUCACUGGUGUUCGGGUUGUCAUGCCAAUGGCACUGCCCGGUAGCUAAAUGCGGAAGAGAUAAGUGCUGAAAGCAUCUAAGCACGAAACUUGCCCCGAGAUGAGUUCUCCCUGACUCCCUGAGAGUCCUGAAGGAACGUUGAAGACGACGACGUUGAUAGGCCGGGUGUGUAAGCGCAGCGAUGCGUUGAGCUAACCGGUACUAAUGAACCGUGAGGCUUAACCUU